GAUGAACGCUGGCGGCGUGCCUAAUACAUGCAAGUCGAGCGAACAGACGAGGAGCUUGCUCCUCUGACGUUAGCGGCGGACGUGUGAGUAACACGUGGAUAACCUACCUAUAAGACUGGUAUAACUUCGGGAAACCGGAGCUAAUACCGGAUAAUAUAUUGAACCGCAUGGUUCAAUAGUGAAAGACGGUUUUGCUGUCACUUAUAGCUGGAUCCGCGCCGCAUUAGCUAGUUGGUAAGGUAACGGCUUACCAAGGCGACGAUGCGUAGCCGACCUGAGAGGGUGAUCGGCCACACUGGAACUGAGACACGGUCCAGACUCCUACGGGAGGCAGCAGUAGGGAAUCUUCCGCAAUGGGCGAAAGCCUGACGGAGCAACGCCGCGUGAGUGAUGAAGGUCUUCGGAUCGUAAAACUCUGUUAUUAGGGAAGAACAAAUGUGUAAGUAACUAUGCACGUCUUGACGGUACCUAAUCAGAAAGCAACGGCUAACUACGUG
rnacentral:rRNA from 1 species